rnacentral:rRNA from 1 species
GACGAACGCUGGCGGCGUGCUUAACACAUGCAAGUCGAACGAUGAAGCCGGAGCUUGCUCUGGUGAAUUAGUGGCGAACGGGUGAGUAACACGUGAGUAACCUGCCCUUGACUCUGGGAUAACUGCGGGAAACUGUAGCUAAUACCGGAUACGACCCUCGGGGGCAUCUCCUGGGGGUGGAAAGAAUUUCGGUCAAGGAUGGACUCGCGGCCUAUCAGCUAGUUGGUGAGGUAAAGGCUCACCAAGGCGACGACGGGUAGCCGGCCUGAGAGGGUGACCGGCCAAACUGGGACUGAGACACGGCCCAGACGCCUACGGGAGGCAGCAGUGGGGAAUAUUGCACAAUGGGCGCAAGCCUGAUGCAGCAACGCCGCGUGAGGGAUGACGGCCUUCGGGUUGUAAACCUCUUUUAGCAGGGAAGAAGCGAAAGUGACGGUACCUGCAGAAAAAGCACCGGCUAACUACGUGCCAGCCGCCGCCGUAA